AUACGAAGGGGGCAAGCGUUGUUCGGAAUAACUGGGCGUAAAGCGCACGUAGGCGGAAUGUUAAGUUAGAGGUGAAAUCCCAGGGCUCAACCCUGGAACGGCCUUUAAUACUGGCAAUCUAGAGACCGAGAGAGGUGAGUGGAAUUCCGAGUGUAGAGGUGAAGUUCGUAGAUAUUCGGAGGAACACCAGUGGCGAAGGCGGCUCACUGGCUCGGUACUGACGCUGAGGUGCGAAAGCGUGGGGAGCAAACAGGAUUAGAAACCCUAGUAGUCC
rnacentral:rRNA from 1 species